UCCAAAGAGUUUACUAAAUACUGUAAAGAUUACGAUAUUAAUCGUAUCCAAAACACAUUUCGCACACCACGAGCGAAUGGUAACGCUGAACGAACUAACAGAACAUUGUUAAGCAUGCUCCGAACGACGACGCAAUCAGAGAAGAAUUGGGAAGACAAACUACGUAAUUUCCAAUGAGUUAUCAACACAACGCGCAAGCAAAUGAUAGCUCGAACCCCAUAUGAGUUGGUGUAUUCAUUCAAGCCACGCGAUAUACUUAAAAACAAACUAACAACGAUUCUACAUGACUGUAACUCACAAGACGUUGAUAUCAAUGAUUUUAGACACGCGGCAGCAGAUCGAGUUACACGACAUGGUCUUGGCCGAGAACGAACCAGCCAUCACGUUCGAAUCACGAAAGUUGGAGCAACGUUACAAAGGCCCCUUCAUUAUAAGCAAAGUCCUUGAUCGAGAUCGAUACGUCAUAAUUUAUCUUCCAGAUUCAGGCAAACAACGUCAUUACACAUCUAUAUACGCUUCAGAUAAGCUUCGACCGUGGUGUAAUCUACCAGCUCUCGACGAACAAAUUAACGAGGGUGCCGAAAGCACCGAUGAAGAUGACAAUUAAUAGCGAGGACGGCUGUAUAGUCAGGAGUGGCCGAUUGUAAACAUAUGGCAACUCUAGACAAGCGGUUAACAUUUUCCGAGCGUUCAACAUUUUUGAGUCAGUCAACGUUUGUAAGACAACGAGUACAGUAUACAUAUACAGUAAUAAACCUUUUUUAGUACUCCUCGGGGGUAAAAUCUGAUCAGAGUUGAUAACGAGAAGGAGCAUGAAUUUUGCUGAUUCAGAGUUGUAAACAAAAUUACUGUGGCAUGAAAGGGGGCAACAACCGGACUUUGGCAGACUGGCACAGGCAAUUUUCUUGUAGCCAGAGGGAGUGGCAUGUGUGGCUCAUUAAAAUCUACUCAUCAUGUUGGAGCAGCUCCGGGUAAUGGACUAUUGAAUGUGCUAGCUCCAAGCAAAUGCAUGUCCUGAAUUUAUACGUGUUUUUGAGGAGCUCAGGAUAAUGGUCGCUCAAACUUGGGAGUGCUUAAUGAAAUAUCUGGGCGGAUGCACUGGCAGGCAUUGGAGUCUCUAUAACUCUACAAACCUCGUUUUUUUUUUAAUAAAAAGCUAAGUAUAUUCGGAAAGUUAGGAUUUUACUUGAUAAAUUUACAAAAUAAAACAAAAUUCACGUUUUUCAUAAAAAUAUAAUCUUACAAUGGAUAUUUUUUUAAUUUUAAACCUACAUUUUAGAAAACACCAUUCAGUGCUAUCAUUACGAUUUGAGUGUUCCAGUUUAUGAAUAACAAGCGUUAAUUAUGUACAUACUUAACUAUUGAUCUCUUAAUUAAGCAUUGAUAUUAUACUUAACCUACAUUAUGUUCAUAAAUAACACAUAAUUAUACAUACAUAUUUUAAAAACGAUGCACACAACCCAAAAGCUCUCCUCCGAGACCAAGUGGUGAAAAACUGCAAAAAGGUUUAUUGCUGUAUAUACCAGGGUUGUUGCGAAUAUUCGCAUUCGCAACCGCGGAGCUUCCGCAUUAAUUUUAACAUU